UUUUCCAAAAACAUAUUUAAUAGAACUAAUUAUUAAUACAGCCUGCUCAAUGAAAUAUAAAUAGCCGCAGUUCAUACUGUGCUAAGGUAGCAUAAUCAUUUGUCUUUUAAUUAAAGACUAGAAUGAAAGGUAUUACAUUUAAAUUAUUAUAUCAACUUUACCUUUUAAAUUUAUUUUAAAUGUAAAAAAACAUUUAUUAUUAAGAAAGACGAUAAGACCCUAUUGAACUUCACUUAAGUUUAACUGGGGAAGUUAAAUAAUUAAUACUUUAUAUAUAAUCAUAUAAAUGAUCUAAUCAAAUUAACUCUAUGAUUAAGUUACCAUAGGGAUAACAGCGUAAUAUUUAUUAAUAGAUCUUAUAUAAAUAAAUGAUUACGACCUCGAUGUUGAAUUAAUUACUCUAUUAUACGCAAAAGUAUAAAAAGAAGGUCUGUUCGACCUUUAAAUAAUCACAUGAUCUGAG
rnacentral:rRNA from 1 species